UGAGGAAUAUUGGGCAAUGGGCGCAAGCCUGACCCAGCAACGCCGCGUGGAGGACGAAGGCCUUCGGGUCGUAAACUCCUUUUACGGGGGAAGAGGAAGGACGGUACCCCGAGAAUAAGUCACGGCUAACUACGUGCCAGCAGCCGCGGUAAUACGUAGGUGACGAGCGUUAUCCGGAAUUACUGGGCGUAAAGCGCACGCAGGCGGCGCCUUAAGUCUGACGUGAAAUCUCUCGGCUUAACCGGGAGGGGUCGUUGGAGACUGGGGAGCUUGAGGCGAUGAGAGGGGUGUAGAAUUCCCGGUGUAGUGGUGGAAUGCGUAGAUAUCGGGAGGAAUACCAGUGGCGAAAGCGACACCCUGGCAUUAGCCUGACGCUCAGGUGCGAAAGCGUGGGGAGCGAACGGG
rnacentral:rRNA from 1 species